GCAGCCUCUGCAAAACCUAUAGGGCGCCCUCUUUUGACAACUAGGAUUGUACUUGUUGAAAGCACAUUGUUUUUAGUAGCCAUCUUUAUUGCAUGUUGUAAAUUGUACUCCAGAGCAUCUAAAAGGACCACCAGAACCUGAUUGUUUUUAAGGCCUAAAUAACCCCCAGAAGAAGCAAGGAGGUAUUGUUUAAUGAUUACUCAUAUCAUUGAGGACUUUCUAGAGUCUUUUGAAGCUUUAGUUUAUUCAGUUUUUAUAAGAAAGGCACUGGACUCUCAUUUAUAUGUUAUUUGCAUGUAAACAUAGUGUAAUUCCAUGAUAUUGAACUUUGUAUUUGGAUUUGUUCUUGUAAUUGCAGUUUUCACGGAGCUUUGCCAGUUCAUGUUUCGUAUUCAAUGGAUGGAACUGUAGCCUAGAUCACAGAGCCUCAAUUAUUGGAGAUUAUUUGAACUUGAGCCUGUGUGCUGAUCCCUGAUCCUUGAAUCUUUGUUCUGUACUGGAGCUGUUACCAUACUGAAGUGAGAGCUUUACAAUACAUUCUUGAAACAGCAAGCUUCUGUCGAGACCCUUGUUUAUUUGUCUUCAUCUUAUUUUGCGAGACACUGCGCCCCCUAGUGGCACACCUUAACAUAGGCCACCGACUUCAUGCGAAUCGAUAAGGCUGCCGCUACAGUGAAAACUCCGAACAUAACUUGAAAUCAUCAAGAACUACGAGAUUAGCCUGUCCUCAUUUGGAACCUGGAAUGCUGAAACAUCUUGAGACGAGACUUUCUACCAACUCACCUUAAAUCCAUCCUGGCUUUGAUGUGUUUCCUGCGAACAACUGGAACUACAGUACAUGUACCUGUCAUUCCUGUGUACUACGAGUGCGACAGUUUUGCGAAGUUUCCUCUCACCGCUGCCCCCCCCCCCCCUGUCAUCAUCACUGCGAGAACAGCCAAGCAAGAGGACAUGCACCGACACCGUAGGAGAGAGGGAUCAUUCUCUGAAGCUGUAUUCUGAACUGCUGGUCCCAAGAACUUAUUUGAAAUAACUUUUGUUACACAAUCAAGUUAAUUUGUGUGCCUUGCGUAUAAUUAUUGUAGAUUUGCAUCACAAAUUGUAAGCAUAAAAUGGGAAUGUUUCCAUCAGCAGUAAUUGUGUAACAUACAGACCUGCAUAUUACAGUAUUGCGGAAUUACAUUUGCUCAUCAUUGUAUCAUAACGUGUAUUGUACAUGCGUUUCAUACAUAACCUUUUGUAUAUGUAAACAAAAAUGGGUUUGUGUAUACUGUACAACAUACAUGUAUCCUGUAGGUUUAACCACUGUUUAUAUGAUGGUGCAUACUAUUAAUAUGAAUGUACAUUGAUGCGCACACUUUCACUUGGAGGUUUAUCCCAAUACAGUAAAUAGGUUUUGGCCAUGUCACGCACAGACACAGACGAAAGCAAUGCUGCGACUGCCCAGGCUGAGGGAGGUGAGGAUGGAAAUGGAGUCGAAACCGCCCGAGAAAGACAACUCACAGAGAAAGGUUUACUGUGGCAAGUCAGCCUACAUGAGCGGAGGUUCCGAAGUUCCCUGUCAGCCUGGCAUAGAUGUGCCAACCAAUUGGAGGAAUUAUUAUCAGAUUCAAAUCAAGUCUCUGCAAUUAAAGCUGGACGAGAUGCCAUGCAUAAAGCCAUGCAACAGCUGCAGGAGUCAAGUCACCAACUUGAAGAAUUGCAGGCAGCAGAAUAUUGGGUCAGUGAACUUUGUAGAAAAUAUGAGAGGACUGAAGAGGAAAACCAUCAUCUUGUGAAAAGAGCUUGCGAACGCAUCAUCGACCUUGAAGAUAAUCUGCGUGAGAUGAGAUCCAGAAUGUCUGAAAAAAGUCAUUAUUCAAGACGAUCUGCAAGCUCGAAAGGUUCCGGUGCUAUUGACAGAGCUGCUGUUGCUGCUGAAGCUGCAGCCCUUAAAGCCAAGCUGAAAUUCGCUGACAUAGAGGCAAACAAACGAGCAGAAUUGGAACUUAAGAAAGCAGAACUCGAGCAACUAAACACAAUGAAAGACUUGCACGCUGCAGAGGCAACGUUAGAGGCAAUUGAUCAGGCACAAGACCAACACUUGUUUGGCUCCCAAGGGAGUCUGGCUGGUAUACCUGCACAAGAGAAAAGUGCCCUUGUUGCAGAUUACUUGAUGAGACAAGGGGAGCUUGAUACUUCAAAGGGUGUUACUAACGACACAACACCUGCAUUUGGCAUGAAGCCACCGGCAGAUACGAACAACCAUGCGAACAAUUCUCCAGUAGAGAUGUCUCACACUCCAGCAUCUAAGGCAAAUGUUGAGCAGCCAAUGACAGGAUCGAUGUGCCACCCUCAGACCAUGCAAAAUUCAGACAAGUGUGGAGCCACUAAACCUGCCAGCAACUCUCAAAGCACUACUGAGAGCACGAACAAUUCACCACCUCUUGCAGUCACAUCUACAACCCAAGUACAUACUACUGAAGCGGUUUCAAACGAACCACAACAGCAGCUGAUAGACUUUACCAAGUCCCUUGCGAAGCAACUGAGCUUAAGUCGGCUGCCCCCUCCAGAACCAGGAGUGUUUGUGGGUGAUGCACUUAAAUAUCCCAACUGGAAAAGUGCAUUUGAAACACUGAUUGAACAACGUGGGAUUCCCUCAUCAGAGCAACUCCAUUACUUGAAGAAAUACACUGGAGGUGCAGCAAGAGAGGCAAUCGAAGGCUACUUCUAUCUCACUACCGACGAUGCAUACAACCAAGCAAAGAAACUACUAGAGAAACGCUAUGGAGAUCCAUUUGUCGUCGCAAAUGCCUUCAGGAACAAACUGGAUUCUUGGCCAAAGAUCCCCACUCGUGAUGGAAUAGCCCUGCGAAACUUUGCGGAUUUUCUGAGACAGUGUGAAACCGCCACAAGGAGCAUUGGCACCUUAGAUGUUCUCAACGAUGAACGCGAAAACAGAAAGAUGCUCUCAAAACUCCCUGACUGGUUAAUCAGCCGAUGGGCCAGAAAGGUUGCGGAUAAGAAGGAAAAGGAUGGAAAGUUUCCUACCUUCUGUGAGUUUGCUAAGUUCAUUGAAAAGGAAGCAAACGUUGCGUGCGAUCCCGUGACCACCCUGCAAGGCCUGAAGGGAGAUGACAAACGAUACAAGUCUUCAGAAUCUCACAGCAAGCCUGACAAGAAUGUCGGAAAACGAACUCCAGGAGCUAAUUCCUUCCCUACCAGAGUAGAUGAGUCUCCAUCCAAGGGACAGAAGGGAAACCACAUGCAGCAAUGGAAGGAGUGUCUUCUAUGCAACAAGACCCACUACCUAGACUCCUGUCCUAUCUUCCUGUCGAAGGAAAUAGGCGAGCGUAAGGAGUUUGCAAAGAAGAAAGGCUUAUGCUUUGGAUGCUUGUCAAAGGGGCACAUGUCAAAGUACUGCCGACGAAGACUGACCUGCAGAACCUGCUCUAAACACCACCCUACAUCCCUGCAUGGCGACACCAAGGAAGAGGUCAAGAUAAGUGUGAACUCAAGUGCAGAAGGAGCCCAACAAGAACAUAAAGCAGUCAGCUCAAACACUCGAAUAAGUCUCUUCAGCGGAGUUGAGGAUUGCAGCCAGAGCUCAAUGACUGUUCCCGUAUGGAUUUCCCAUUGUGAUCGACCAGGACAUGAGCGACUAGUCUACGCAUUACUGGAUACACAAUCUGAUACCACAUUUAUCCUAAGAGACACAUGCGAUGCUCUUGGCCUGGAUGGACCAAAGGUUCAUCUUCUGCUUUCUACCAUGACUGCAAAGGAGCAGAGGGUAUCAAGCCGCAAGAUUAAUGGACUGCUCGUGAGAGGAUACAACAGUGAGACCAAGAUUCCACUACCGAGUACAUACUGCAGAGAAGCCAUCCCAGCUAAUCGUGAUCACAUACCGACGGCAGACAUGGCCAGAAAAUGGCCUCACCUCGAAGGAAUGGCAAAUCACCUGAUGCCUGCAACGGAAUGCGAAAUAGGUCUCCUGAUUGGGUACAACUGCCCACGUGCUCUUGCGCCACGUGAAGUCAUCCACCCAGCAGAAAGCGGCCCAUACGGUCAACGAACAGACCUCGGAUGGUCUAUUGUUGGCAUUGUCAACCCUCACUUUGGAGAAGACGAGGGAAAUGACCCCAUAGGAAUCAGUCACAAGAUAGUCACCUGCAAGGUGCACCCUUUGUCGGAAAAUGAUCAAUCGACAAGUAAGCACGUGAUCUUUUCUAUCAGGAACAAGGUGAAGGAAAUCACUCCAACUGAAUUUUCACAGAUGCUGGAGUUGGAUUUCCCCGAGAAGAAACCAGACGAUACCAACCUGUCGCAGGAAGACAUCCAGUUCUUGGACAAGAUCAGAAAUGGUAUUCAUCAACGAAAUGAUGGUCACUAUGAAAUGCCAUUACCAUUCCGUGGGUCUGAACCGGAUCUCCUGAAUAACAGAUUGAUGGCACUGCACCGCCUCGAACUUCUCAAGACUCGCUUCAAGAAGAAUCCCACGUACCACUCGGACUACACCAACUUUCUACAGGACAUCAUUAGUAAGAACCAUGCGGAGGAAGUGCCUGGCACCCAUGUCAGCAAAUCAAGUGGAGUGUGGUACAUACCACAUCAUGGGGUUUAUCAUCCCAAGAAACCGGGGAAGAUUCGCGUGGUGUUUGAUUGCAGUGCUCAGUAUAAGGGAGAGUCCUUGAAUGACCAUUUACUUCAAGGUCCAGACCUAAUGAACAGCCUCGUCGGGAUACUCUGCAGAUUCCGAUUGCGUCCAGUGGCAUUCAUGUGCGAUGUCGAACAGAUGUUCCACCAGUUUAAAGUCGAAGCAAGGCAUAGAGAUUAUCUGCGAUUCGUAUGGUGGAAAGAUGGCAACUUCAACAACGAACCCACAGAAUACCGAAUGGGUGUACACCUCUUCGGUGCAGUUUCAUCACCCGGAUGUGCAAACUUCGGCCUGAAACAGAUCGCAGAAGACUACGAAGCUAAGUACGGCUCUGAUGCUGCAGACUUUGUUCGACACAACUUCUAUGUUGACGACGGCCUAAAGUCAGUCUCGUCCACAUCUGAAGCUGUCACCUUGAUUAGACAAACCAAAGAAAUGUGUGCACAGGGCGGACUACGACUGCACAAGUUUAUCUCGAAUUCCAGAGAGGUCAUGGAAAACGUCCCACUUGAAGACCGAGCCAGUAAUGUGAAAAUUCUUGACCUCCUCCACGAUGCCCUUCCCAUAGAAAGAGCACUCGGAGUUGAAUGGUGUGUGGAAUCUGAUGCAUUCAACUUCCGCAUUAUCUUGCGAGACAAACCUUUGACGAGGCGUGGAAUUCUUUCCACCAUCUGCUCCAUCUACGAUCCUCUUGGCUUCGUUGCUCCAGUCAUGUUGGUGGGCAGACUCAUUCUUCAAGACUUGUGUAGAGUUCAAGCUGACUGGGACACCCCCUUGAAUGAAGAAAUGAGAUCACGCUGGGAAAAGUGGAGAAAGGACCUACCUCUUCUAGAGAAACUCAAGAUUCCACGAUGUGUUUGUCCAGAGAAGUUUGGGAAGGUGAUUGCUACAGAAAUUCAUCACUUCUCUGACGCGAGUGCUUUUGCUUAUGGUCAGUGCUCGUAUCUCCGUCUCAUUGAUGACAAAGAGAAUGUCCACAGCACAUUGAUAAUGGGAAAGAGCAGGGUCACUCCUCUUAAGCCCAUUACCAUUCCUCGUCUGGAGUUGACCGCUGCUGUCGUCUCAGUGCGAGUCAGCACCUUACUGCAAAAGGAGCUCGACCUAGAUGCCAUAACCGAAGUCUUUUGGACAGACAGUAAAGUGGUUCUAGGCUACGUCAAGAAUGAAUCGCGACGGUUUCAUGUGUUUGUUGCCAAUCGGGUGCAACAAAUAAGAAGUCGCUCUGAUCCUGACCAGUGGAAACAUGUGGGGACGAAGGAGAACCCGGCAGAUGAAGGAUCUCGAGGUUUGAGAGUUGAGGAAAUUCUCACCUCGAAAUGGCUGAAAGGGCCAGACUUUCUCUUGGAAAGAAAACUACCACCUCAAGAAUCAACCGAAUAUCAGACUUCUCCAGAAGAUCCAGAAGUAAAGAAGACAAGCGUGCUGCUGGUGCAGACAGUGAAAUCUGCCGUAGAGCUUGAGCACUUCUCCAAAUGGCGCUCUCUUAGACGAGCCAUAGCAGGAUGUCAGAAGUUCAUGUCUCGACUGAUGGAGGCUGUAAAGGACCAACGUGGAGAGUUGACUGAGAGUUACAAGUCAGAGGCCAACCAUCUUCCUCACUAUUCCCCGGCGACUGUUGAAGACCUGCAGCGAUCCGAACGAACUAUCAUCAAGCUUGUACAAAGCGAAUCCUUCCCAGAGGAGAUACGGAUACUCACCAGUCUAAAUGUCAACGACGGUGACAUAGAUAGACACCUUGCACGGAAGCGGAACAAGUCAAUGAAGCGUACAAGCUCACUCUUCAGGCUGGACCCCUUCAUCGACAACGAAGGCAUCUUGCGUGUUGGAGGACGUAUCAGAAAGGCAGACAUGUCAUUCGAAUUCAAACAUCCAGCCAUCCUUCCAAGAAGACACCACGUCACUAGCCUGAUAAUCCGUCAUUUUCAUGAGCUAGCAGCUCAUCAAGGUCGUGGUACGACGACAAAUGCCAUACGGUCAAAUGGAUUCUGGAUACUGGGAUGCAGUGCUGCAGUUGCCACUCAGAUCUCCAAUUGUGUCAGAUGCCGAAAGUUGUAUGGAAGGGUGCAAGAGCAAAAGAUGGCCAGCCUACCUGAUGAGAGACUUCAGCCAGCACCUCCUUUCACAUUUUGUGGUGUAGACUACUUUGGUCCAUGGCUGAUCAAGGAAGGACGGAAGGAGAUUAAGCGUUACGGGGUCCUCUUCACUUGUUUGGCCUCCCGAGCCAUCCAUAUUGAGGUUGCCAACUCGUUGACUACAGACUCCUUCAUAAAUGCCUUACGCCGAUUUACAGCCAUACGUGGCCCAAUGCGGGUGCUGAGGUCUGACCAGGGAACAAAUCUAGUUGGCGCAAGGUCAGAGCUAAAGCGAGCACUAGAAGAAAUGGAUCAUGACAGGUUGCGACACUUCCUCAUUGAAAGAGGGUGCGACUAUCCAGAAUUCAAGAUGAAUGCUCCUACAGCGAGUCACACUGGGGGAGCAUGGGAAAGGCUCAUUCGGUCCGUGAGAAGAGUUCUCCAAGCUCUCAUGGAACACUCGGGAACCCAGUUGGAUGACGAGUCUCUCCGAACCUUCAUGUGCGAAGCAGCAGCAAUAGUGAAUAGCAGACCAUUAUCGGUAACCACUCUGAAUGAGCCCACCGCCUUAGAACCUCUGACACCCAACCACUUGCUCACUCUGAAAUCAAGUGUGGUUCUGCCACCUCCUGGCGAGUUUCAGCGUGUCGAUGUCUACUCCCAAAAACGUUGGCGAAGAGUGCAGUAUCUAGCCAAUGAAUUUUGGAAUCGCUGGAAAAGGGAGUUUGUGCAAACUCUUCAAGCAAGACAGAAGUGGACACGCAGGGUACCUGACGUCCAAGUCGGAGAUGUUGUCCUGAUUGUUGACAACAAUCUACCCCGAAACCAGUGGCAACUUGGUAGAAUCUCCGAAGCUAUUCCUGGCACUGACGGCCAAGUCAGAAGAGUGAAGCUUGUUGUUGCCGACAGAUCCUUAGAUGUCAAGGGCAAACGAACACGACCAGUGACAACCCUGGAACGCCCCAUCCAGAAGCUUGUCGUGCUUCUUAAGAGUCAGGAGCACUGGGGAUUCCCCAUCGGGGAGCCUUAGUCCCAAUUUAGAGUUUCUUGUUGAUGAGUUGUGUUUGACCAGUGUUCGAAUUAUUGAACUUAGAUUUGAAGAGCUCUUUAACUAGUGUUUUUUGGCAAGUUGUUGAACAGUAUAGUUUAUACCUUUUGAUCUUAACAUGUAAGUGACGAGUAGGAAUUGAUAUUCAAUGUCAGUUUGUAAGGCUUUGAAAUGGAAAAAUUAGAAGUCACUAAUUUUGGGGAGCCAUGUAACUGCAGCCUCUGCAAAACCUAUAGGGCGCCCUCUUUUGACAACUAGGAUUGUACUUGUUGAAAGCACAUUGUUUUUAGUAGCCAUCUUUAUUGCAUGUUGUAAAUUGUACUCCAGAGCAUCUAAAAGGACCACCAGAACCUGAUUGUUUUUAAGGCCUAAAUAACCCCCAGAAGAAGCAAGGAGUUUUCACGGAGCUUUGCCAGUUCAUGUUUCGUAUUCAAUGGAUGGAACUGUAGCCUAGAUCACAGAGCCUCAAUUAUUGGAGAUUAUUUGAACUUGAGCCUGUGUGCUGAUCCCUGAUCCUUGAAUCUUUGUUCUGUACUGGAGCUGUUACCAUACUGAAGUGAGAGCUUUACAAUACAUUCUUGAAACAGCAAGCUUCUGUCGAGACCCUUGUUUAUUUGUCUUCAUCUUAUUUUGCGAGACACUGCGCCCCCUAGUGGCACACCUUAACAUAGGCCACCGACUUCAUGCGAAUCGAUAAGGCUG